rnacentral:rRNA from 1 species
UGGGGAAUUUUGCACAAUGGGGGAAACCCUGAUGCAGCGACGCCGCGUGAUUUAGAAGGCCUUCGGGUUGUAAAAAUCUUUUCUAUGGGAAGAAAAUGACAGUACCAUAGGAAUAAGGACCGGCUAAUUACGUGCCAGCAGCCGCGGUAAUACGUAAGGUCCGAGCGUUGUCCGGAAUCAUUGGGCGUAAAGGGUACGUAGGCGGGUAAGCAAGUUAGAAAUGAAAUCCUAUAGCUCAACUAUAGUAAGCUUUUAAAACUGCUCAUCUUGAGGUAUGGAAGGGAAAGUGGAAUUCCUAGUGUAGCGGUGAAAUGCGCAGAUAUUAGGAGGAAUACCGGUGGCGAAGGCGACUUUCUGGCCAUAACCUGACGCUGAGGUACGAAAGCGUGGGUAGCAAACAGG